rnacentral:rRNA from 1 species
AGCGAACGCUGGCGGCAGGCUUAACACAUGCAAGUCGAGCGGGCAUCUUCGGAUGUCAGCGGCAGACGGGUGAGUAACACGUGGGAACGUACCCUUCGGUUCGGAACAACUCUGGGAAACUGGAGCUAAUACCGGAUACGCCCUUAUGGGGAAAGGUUUACUGCCGAAGGAUCGGCCCGCGUCUGAUUAGCUAGUUGGCGGGGUAACGGCCUACCAAGGCGACGAUCAGUAGCUGGUCUGAGAGGAUGAUCAGCCACACUGGGACUGAGACACGGCCCAGACUCCUACGGGAGGCAGCAGUGGGGAAUAUUGGACAAUGGGCGCAAGCCUGAUCCAGCCAUGCCGCGUGAGUGAUGAAGGCCUUAGGGUUGUAAAGCUCUUUUGUCCGGGACGAUAAUGACGGUACCGGAAGAAUAAGCCCCGGCUAACUUCGUG